GUCCUUGUGGCCUAAUGGAUAAGGCGUUGGCCUCCGGAGCCAAAGAUUGUGGGUUCGAGUCCCAUCAAGGACG
rnacentral:tRNA from 1 species